CAUCCAUUCUGAAGAUACCUUUCAGGAUGACUUCAGGACUAGAAAUAGUAUCUGGCUUGUUUCUAGUACAUCUUACCUAAAGUUUCAUGUAUGAAUGGGAGAACGAAAGCCUCAGAUUGUCAACUAACUCUACCAAGUCUUACAAUAGUUCAGUGUUCAUCCAAAAAUCAAAUCCAUAAUUCCAGAUCAUUUCUUCAAUUCCUUCAACUCUUCUUUGAAGCUGAGACCCAGACUCUCGUCUGAUUUUCUAAG
rnacentral:lncRNA from 1 species